rnacentral:sRNA from 1 species
UAUAUUAAACUUUUGCUUUGUUAUGUAUUUUAUAUUUUAAUAUACCUGUGGUGAACCAAAAAUAGACUAAAAGAGUUAAUAUCUUCUAUAGAUGCCCCCUCUGGAAAGGUGUGUAUGAUGGCCAUGGGGCAGCCCGGAACAUUAUCCCUGAAUCCAUUGCUGCUGCCAAGGCUGUGGGCAAGGUCAUCCUGGAGCUGAACAAAAGUUCACUGGUACUGAUUUCUGUGUUCCUGACCGCAGUGUAUCCACUGUGGAUCUGACAUGCCGCCUGGAGGAACCUGCCAAGUAUGAUGACAUCGAGAAUGUGGUGAAACAGGAAUCUGGGGGUUCACUGAAGGGCAUCCUGUGCUACACUGAGGACCAGAUUGUCUACUGUGACUUCAACAGUGACUCCUACUCUUCCACCUUUGAUGACUGGCAUUUCUCUCAAUGACAACUUUAUAAAGCUCAUUUCCAGGAGAAAUACUGACUUGGAAAUUUUUUAUUUGAAUAUCCAGAAAAAGAUGACUGCACUGUUAACUUAAGAAGCACAGACAAUCUCAAAAAUAAGGAACCAAACAAAAAAGUACAUGAACAACAUCACCACCAAUAACAAAAAUCCAGAGUAUUUGCAUCUUUGUGAAAAUUUGUAAUCCCAUACAAGACUCUGAGAUCUGGCUUAUCCUGAACUUGAAUCUCCACACAAAUCCUCCUUUCCAUCACAUCCUAAGAUGGGUUGAACCUCUCUGAGGACAACAUUUUCUUCUAUCUGCAAAUAUAACAUACUAUUUUUAAUAAUGUUGGGAAUUGGUGCCUGCCCAUGGGAUGGGUCUCAAGAUAGGCUGGAUUUUAGUUGACAGCUUCCGGUCUUUGCUCCAUCCCCCAAGCCCACAGUUCUUAUAAAUAGGAUAAAUUUGGGGAGGAUAAAUAGUCAUAAGGGGCAGAUGGAAGGAGGGACCUGGGAGG